CGCCCGCCGCCGCGGCGGGCGGGGCGGGGGCACGGGGGGGCGAAGAAGUAUUUCGGUAUGUAAAGCUCUAUCAGCAGGGAAGAAAAUGACGGUACCUGACUAAGAAGCUCCGGCUAAAUACGUGCCAGCAGCCGCGGUAAUACGUAUGGAGCAAGCGUUAUCCGGAUUUACUGGGUGUAAAGGGAGCGUAGACGGUUUGCCAAGUCUGAUGUGAAAGGUGUGGGCUCAACCCGCAAACUGCAUUGGAAACUGGUAGACUAGAGUGUCGGAGAGGUAAGUGGAAUUCCUAGUGUAGCGGUGAAAUGCGUAGAUAUUAGGAGGAACACCAGCGGCGAAGGCGGCUUACUGGACGAUAACUGACGUUGAGGCUCGAAAGCGUGGGGAGCAAACAGGAUUAGAUACCCUGGUAGUCCACGCCGUAGACGAUGAAUACUAGGUGUUGG
rnacentral:rRNA from 1 species